rnacentral:rRNA from 1 species
GUCCACGCAGUAAACGAUGAAUACUAGCUGUAUGCGAUAUACUGUAUGUGGCAAAGCGAAAGCGUUAAGUAUUCCACCUGGGGAGUACGUUCGCAAGAAUGAAACUCAAAGGAAUUGACGGGGGCCCGCACAAGCGGAGGAACAUGUGGUUUAAUUCGAUGAUACGCGAGGAACCUUACCCGGGCUUGAAAUGCAUCUGACCGACGAGGAAACUUGUCUUCUAGCAAUAGCAGAUGUGUAGGUGCUGCAUGGUU